rnacentral:rRNA from 1 species
UACAGAGGGUGCAAGCGUUAUUCGGAAUUACUGGGCGUAAAGCGUGCGUAGACGGUUACAUAAGUCAGAUGUGAAAGCCCCGGGCUCAACCUGGGAAUUGCAUUUGAGACUGUGUAGCUAGGGUGCGGAAGAGGGAAGCGGAAUUUCCGGUGUAGCGGUGAAAUGCGUAGAUAUCGGAAGGAACACCAGUGGCGAAAGCGGCUUCCUGGUCCAGCACCGACGUUCAGGCACGAAAGCGUGGGGAGCAAACAGG